GUGAUUGUGCUUGGCCACGCUGGAGAGACGCUUCCUACCCGUGGGGACGGGAUGCUCUUGGGCUAAGCCGGCGGUGGGGUGGGAGCCUGAUGAGCGCGGUCUCUGGUGAAUCUGCAGCCGCGGGGCCCGGAGGAGCGGGCGGGCCUUCCAGGGCCGCCACCAGGGGGCAGUGCCGCCCAGCGCAGAGCGCAGCCUGGCCGGACGGCGAGGCGCAGCCGGUGCCCCGGCGGCCAGGAAACUUGCCUCCAGCGCAGCAAAACUUCCAUGACUAUGUGUCUAUUUCUUGAUAUCCUGAGAGUCCUGAUUAGCUGAAGAAGGACGCUGACCACCAGGAACACUAAGUAAAGGCCGAACAUGAUGAAGCCCAGCACUUUGUUCAUCCGCCAUUUGCAGAGGGCGAUGGAGAGGAUGACGAAGAGCAGCAUGAUGAAGAGGAGGACAAUGGCGCAGAAGAGCCCGUUGCUGCUGACAGCCACUGGCUGGAAUCUGUGGAUGAUGGUGCUGUGGAAGGGGCUCCACGUGAACUCAGAUGAGGUCAUCAGAAAGCCUGCAGCUCAGCUGUGGGCCACUGGAACACUCUCUCUUGGAUCCCUGACCUCUGAUGUAUGGCAUUGGACUAUCCCGAGGCCACCAUGCUGUGAGGAUGCCCAAGUCGCAGGGAGGGGCCACGUUUGGGCUUUGAAUCACCUCUGCCCAGGUGCCAGAAGCAUCGGUGAAGACGCCUCCACAUGUCCAGCCCCAGCCACUGAGUCUUCCUCGCACUGAGGCCCCACACACUGAGAAGCAGAGACAAGCCAUCCCAAUGUCCCUUAUUCAAAUUCCUGAUCUGCAGGAUCCACUAGCAGAAUAAAAUGAUUUCAUGAUCACUAAAGUUUGGUAUGAUUUGCCAUGUAGAUUUGAUAAUCCGAACAAUCACUAUUAUCCUGAAUCCAGAGAAAUUUCAGGUAUAUGUAAGCCUACAAAAGUAUGUUUUUCACCUCCCCUUUUCCUUUUAAGACAAAUAGAAGUGGAUUAUGAAUACUGUUAUAUAUUGGGCUCUUAACCAG